CUUGCUUCUCUUGAGAGCGGCGGACGGGUGAGUAAUGCCUAGGAAUCUGCCUGGUAGUGGGGGAUAACGUUCGGAAACGGACGCUAAUACCGCAUACGUCCUACGGGAGAAAGCAGGGGACCUUCGGGCCUUGCGCUAUCAGAUGAGCCUAGGUCGGAUUAGCUAGUUGGUGGGGUAAUGGCUCACCAAGGCGACGAUCCGUAACUGGUCUGAGAGGAUGAUCAGUCACACUGGAACUGAGACACGGUCCAGACUCCUACGGGAGGCAGCAGUGGGGAAUAUUGGACAAUGGGCGAAAGCCUGAUCCAGCCAUGCCGCGUGUGUGAAGAAGGUCUUCGGAUUGUAAAGCACUUUAAGUUGGGAGGAAGGGUUGUAGAUUAAUACUCUGCAAUUUUGACGUUACCGACAGAAUAAGCACCGGCUAACUCUGUGCCAGCAGCCGCGGUAAUACAGAGGGUGCAAGCGUUAAUCGGAAUUACUGGGCGUAAAGCGCGCGUAGGUGGUUUGUUAAGUUGGAUGUGAAAUCCCCGGGCUCAACCUGGGAACUGCAUUCAAAACUGACUGACUAGAGUAUGGUAGAGGGUGGUGGAAUUUCCUGUGUAGCGGUGAAAUGCGUAGAUAUAGGAAGGAACACCAGUGGCGAAGGCGACCACCUGGACUAAUACUGACACUGAGUGCGAAAGCGUGGGGA
rnacentral:rRNA from 1 species